UACAGAGGUCUCAAGCGUUGUUCGGAUUCAUUGGGCGUAAAGGGUGCGUAGGUGGCGCUGUAAGUCAGGUGUGAAAUUUCGGAGCUUAACUCCGAAACUGCAUUUGAUACUGCGGUGCUUGAGGACUGGAGAGGAGACUGGAAUUCACGGUGUAGCAGUGAAAUGCGUAGAGAUCGUGAGGAAGACCAGUGGCGAAGGCGGGUCUCUGGGCCAGUACUGACACUGAGGAGCGAAAGCGUGGGGAGCGAACAGG
rnacentral:rRNA from 1 species